rnacentral:rRNA from 1 species
AUGCAGCGGCGCGAGGAGAAGGAGGAGGGUGACGCUAGUACCUUCGACGCUCUUGAGCACCUUCCGGACCUUCUUCUUGCAGCCAUGGCAGUGGAUGGUCACCCUCAGCACGAAGGUCUGCAGAUCCAUGGGAUGGGAGUGCGCUCUGGCCUCUGGGGACUGGUCACCGUCGUCUCGCUUCUUGGUUGGGGAGCAGGAUGGGGGCGCGCUCGAGUCUGUGGCUCUGAGGGCGCUGGGAACUCAGGGGAGGCAGCAGAUGCGGUGCUCAACUUUAUAGAGGGGGAUGCGGGGAUGGAGUACGACCACAGAGGCCACUGA